UACCAUCACGAGUUGAGGUAAUUAAACAAACGUCUGAAACGUUAUACAGAGCAACCAGCUCUUCAAAGCGAACACUUUUAUGUAAGAAAUGAAUAGGUGUAUAUUCAACAGUACCAAAACGACCGUUAAUACGGCCAACAAGCUCAUUGACAACGGCUCUAAGAUUCUGAUACUCUUCGACAUCUUGACGAGAAGGAACGGCAACUUGAACCAACACGACCUUUCCAACCCAUUCAGGGUAUUGUUCUAAGAACACUUCAAAGGCAUGGAAUUUUUGGGGAACACCCUUAAUGUAGUCCAAACGAUCGACACCCACAAUCACCUUAACGCCUUGUAGUCUACGUUCGAUGCUUGCAAUG